UACGGGGGGGGCAAGCGUUGUUCGGAAUUACUGGGCGUAAAGGGCUCGUAGGUGGCCAACUAAGUCAGACGUGAAAUCCCCAGGCUCAACUUGGGAACUGCGUCUGAUACUGGAUGGCUUGAAUUCGGGAGAGGGAUGCAGAAUUCCUGGUGUAGCGGUGAAAUGCGCAGAUAUCAGGAGGAACACCGAUGGCGAAGGCAGGUCUCUGGGCAUUAACUGACGCUGAGGAGCGAAAGCAUGGGGAGCGAACAGG
rnacentral:rRNA from 1 species